rnacentral:lncRNA from 1 species
GCGAUGAUGAAUAAAAAAGGGGAUAACGGGUCUCCCUGCCUCAAUCCCCUAUGUGAAGGAAAGAAAUCUUCAGGUGACGCAUUAAAACACUGAAAAUCUGGCUGUGCUUAUAAAAUAUCUGAUCCAGUUGGUCCAUUUUGUGCCAAAGUGAAGCCAUGAUAUAUACACAUUAAGCUUGAAAGUGUGAUGAAAAUACCCACAAUGUGUUUUUACUUCAAUUCUUCUCUUUCACGCGACAUUAUUAAGCCAAAGAUAAUGGGGCUUGGGCUGCAGAAGUGCAUCUGCCCAUGAUAUAUGCACAUCAACCUUUAGAAUCUAAGAUGAGAUGAAAAUAAAUACAUUUGUAUUUUACUCUAAUUCUCUCUCUCAGAGUUGCUCUAAUAUCAGUUAUAGCUGGGGGUACUCUUAUAGGAGGGAGAUUCAGUGUUUUCAUUACAAAUAGACAGAUGAAAAACAGGUAAUCUAUUAGUUACCCCAAUCUUAGAAAAUAAAAAAGACCUUUGCAUUAUUUUGUUAUUUAUAUCACAUGACACGUUUACUUGAUAAGACAUACACAAGAUUGAUUUUUUUUCAAGCCUUAAAAUGGUGAAUUUGAAGGUUUUCAUCAUCACGCUUGGUGAAAUUGCUGUUCUUCCGAUGAGUGAAAAACAUUCCCCAGUUAUAAGCCUUAUACUUUGCAGGGUUUUCCGCAUUGACAAGCUUCUCCAAGGGUUCUAUCCAUGUAUAGUGUGAUGGAUUGAGAAAGAAUGGAAUUGAAAACCUUUCCCUCUCUGAGUUCACCACCACCCGGUGUUCCACACUCUCAUAUUCAUCGUUGCUCCAAACCUGAACAAGCAUUGUGAUCAUACACCAAUUAUAUAUAUACGUACUAAUACUACAAUUUACCUACUGAAUUCUUUGAUAAGAAUACCUGGAUAGUGUCACCAACAUUUAUAAUGUAAGCAUCAGGAGUAGGUUUAACUCUAAUCCAUUCUCCAUCAGUUUUUCUCUUCACUUCAAGCCCUCCUAUAUCAUCUUGAGCCAGAAUAGUUAGUGAACCAGCAUCUUUGUGCCUACCAACUCCUAAAGCCAAAUGAGGGAUAGGGCAAGGAGGAUAAUGAUUCAGCCUCACGAAACUAGUUUGGUCUUUAAAGAACCCAUUCAACCUUUUUGCUGGCAAGUCUAAGCUGAGAGAAAUCAGUUCCAGUAACUUGUAAGACAGCUUUUGCAUUUCUUGAACAUACUUUUCACAAACAUCCCUGAAAAAAAAGACAAUUAUUAAUCAAUCUUGCUCAGCUUCGUGCUUUAUUAAAGAAAAAUGCUCCAAUUUUGUCCCUCUACCAUACGAAAUAUCUUAAUUUUAUUCUUCUUCCUACCUUUUGGCGUUUCAUAUCGUCUUGUUUUUGCCCUUAACACUAACAAAACUCCAACAUGGAUUGGGUAGAUUCUACGGGUCAAAAUACUUAGGGAAAAGGUACAAUUUUACCCCUCUAAGUUUGACUAUGGUUUAAUACUUCAUGUUGGAGCUCUGUAAGAGUCAACGGCAAAUACCACACGAUUUACUAACUGCAAGAAUAUGAUGACCUCAAAGUAUAGCAAGGAUAAAAUUAAGAUAUUUUGUAUAUUAGAGAGGUAAAUUUGGAAAUUUUCUCUUUACUAAAUUGUGCGUUUAAAAAAAGAAUAUUGAGUACCUUAAUUCUGGAGGGUACUCAGGCCAUUGAUUGUGCAACUCCUUGAGCUCCUUGUCAUCAGGGUCAUGAGAAAGUGGUACAACAGUUGGAUUCUCCACAGUAAAAUCAAAGACUUCUUUCCAGUCCCUAACAUUUUUGGUGAGCUCAGUAUCAUAAUAUCCCAUUGAGUUCAGCUCAUCUCUCUUCACUUUUCUCUUUUCCUCUUUAGACAAAGCAAAGAACUUUCUUGAUCCCAACUCAAUCUUUUCCCUGUACUCUAAGGACACCCCAUGAUUGAUCACUUGGAAGAAUCCCCAUUUCUUGCAUGCAUCUUUCACCUCAGCUACUAGACUUGAUAAUUCCUUGCAAUUUUUCUCAGUGGAGAUAUCUGAAGAGUUGAGUAUUAAGAGAUCAAUCACUGGAAUGCCCUCUGCUUCAGUUAUGGUCAAUUUAGGCC